rnacentral:rRNA from 1 species
GCAGCCUGAUCUAGCCAUGCCGCGUGUGUGAUGAAGGUCUUAGGAUCGUAAAGCACUUUCGCCAGGGAUGAUAAUGACAGUACCUGGUAAAGAAACCCCGGCUAACUCCGUGCCAGCAGCCGCGGUAAUACGGAGGGGGUUAGCGUUGUUCGGAAUUACUGGGCGUAAAGCGUACGUAGGCGGAUUGGAAAGUUGGGGGUGAAAUCCCAGGGCUCAACCCUGGAACUGCCUCCAAAACUAUCAGUCUAGAGUUCGAGAGAGGUGAGUGGAAUUCCAAGUGUAGAGGUGAAAUUCGUAGAUAUUUGGAGGAACACCAGUGGCGAAGGCGGCUCACUGGCUCGAUACUGACGCUGAGGUACGAAAGUGUGGGGAGCAAACAGGAUUAGAUACCCUGGUAGUCCACACCGUAAACGAUGAAUGCCAGUCGUCGGGCAGUAUACUGUUCGGUGACACACCUAACGGAUUAAGCAUUCCGCCUGGGGAGUACGGUCGCAAGAUUAAAACUCAAA